AAAUUGAAGAGUUUGAUCAUGGCUCAGAUUGAACGCUGGCGGCAGGCCUAACACAUGCAAGUCGAACGGUAACAGGAAGCAGCUUACUGUUUCGCUGACGAGUGGCGGACGGGUGAGUAAUGUCUGGGAAACUGCCUGAUGGAGGGGGAUAACUACUGGAAACGGUAGCUAAUACCGCAUAACGUCGCAAGACCAAAGAGGGGGACCUUCGGG
rnacentral:rRNA from 1 species